rnacentral:tRNA from 1 species
UGAGGCCUUAGUUUAGUAAAAGCGGUUGAANUGCANNCAGUUGAUGUAGAUUAGAGUUUUACAGGUCU